CACGUAGGGCGCAAGCGUUGUCCGGAUUCAUUGGGCGUAAAGGGUGCGUAGGCGGCGGGGCAAGUCUGAUGCGAAAUCCCGGGGCUCAACCCCGGAACUGCAUUGGAUACUGCCUUGCUUGAGUACUGGAGAGGAGACUGGAAUUUACGGUGUAGCAGUGAAAUGCGUAGAUAUCGUAAGGAAGGCCAGUGGCGAAGGCGAGUCUCUGGACAGUUACUGACGCUGAGGCACGAAGGUCAGGGGAGCAAACGGG
rnacentral:rRNA from 1 species